AUUCUUGUCUAUCGGAUUGCUACCCAUUUGGUCAGAUCUUUUCAACUCUAAAAUUUUAAUUUUGUACAUAGGAUAGUCUCUUCAUCUCUUCCCCAUUUCUUUAAUUUCAAAAAUCUCUCCCUCCAUUUUUCAAAAUCAUCUUUGUGUGAACUUUUGUUCUAAACUUUGACCACUUUUGCAAAAAGAUAGAAACUUUGGCCUUAUGCCAUUGCGUUUU
rnacentral:lncRNA from 1 species